rnacentral:lncRNA from 13 species
CUUGGGCUGGGGGGGGCAGGCGGCUUCUCUCUCCUCCUCCUCCUCUUUAAACAAAACCAGAGGAAACAUUUAUGUUAUUCUUGAACUCCCAGUAAGCCUCCUCCAGCCCCUCAUCACCCCACCUCUGCCUGCAGGGGAGAGAGUGGGAAGCCAGGGACAUCAUCCUCCCCGUCACAGGCCCCAGAAGGACGGUCCCCCGGGGGCUGCCAGGCCUGGGGAGGGGUGCAGGGGCUCCCUUGGGGUCACAGCACCUGAAGAAGAAGAGCGGAUUGGGGAGCGAUGGGGUCAUCCCGUUGACCCUUUGCUUCUACGAAUGAGGAAACUGAGGCAGGUCCAAGGUUCUUGCCUCCCAGAGAGGGUGCCUCAUUUCCUGGAGAGAAAUUGGAGGCCCCAGCUCUGAGAGGGGAAUGAAAGAUGGGGCUGGGCGCAUGUGCAGCCAGCCCCGAAUCUCCACGGGGGGCUUCCGCGGUUCAGAAGGCUCCUGAGAGGUACACCAGGACCUCCCCGGGCUGCUUUCUGGGGCGAUGACCUCUGACCCCAGCCCGCCCAGCUCCGUCAGCCUGGGGUACCUCAUAGCCAAGCACCUUCGUGGUGCCCAGGAAUUCACUCUCUGGGGGUCGAGAGUGGGUUCCAGACUGAAGGCCCAGCCCUACCCUCACUUCGUAUAUCAGGGACCCCUCUGGAGCCUCAGUUUCCCUAUCCAUGGGGUGGGGAUAAAACACAUGUAGUGCAUGCCGGAGGACAUCUGAGCACUCAGGAGAAGCCGUGGCAGGUGUGGUCACCAGGCUCUGCCCACCCCGCAAACGGGAAGGGCAGACGGGUGGUGGAAGGGCAAGGCACCCUGGGCAAGGCUCAGAGGACAGAAGCUGGAGGCGCGUGGAGGGAGGAGGAGGAGGGAGAAGGAGGAGGGGGAAGAGGAGGAGGGAGGGGGAGGGGAGGGAAAGGAUGAGGAAGAAGGGAUGAGAGGAAGGGGAGGUGGGAAGGAAGCAGAAGGGGGAUGGGAGGAAGGGAGGGGGAGGGGAAGAGGGGAAUGGGAGGCUUCCCAGCAGAGCCCCCCCACUCCACAGCAUGGUGCUUCUGCUGGAAUUGAUCCUCCCAUCGAUCCUGGGGGAGCUGCAGCUGUGGGGCCAGCUCUGCUCUGGAGGCCAGGAGGAGGCCGGGCUGAGGAGGAGAGAGUCUGCACAAAGGGAAGGGAGGGUGCUCCGUCCCCCUCUGCCGAUUCCCUCGCAGUCCCUGGAGCUGGGUGGUGCAGGCCCCCCAUUUCCCAGAAAGAUCUACUUGAAUUGACCCAACCACCAAGAGCCCGUCAGUGCGAGUCACUGGGUGUGUGUGAGGGUAUGUUGGUCUUAGGGCUGUGGUGGGGAUCUGGUGUCUCUUCUUCCCCUGGGCCGGUGGAGGUGGGGUGGGGCCGCCCCAGCACCCAUCCCUGGAGAGGCAGGAGGAGCCGAUAAGCAAACACGUCACUCACUCAAUCACUCGAUCCCUGGAAUU